rnacentral:rRNA from 1 species
AUUGAACGCUGGCGGCAUGCCUUACACAUGCAAGUCGAACGGCAGCACGGGUGCUUGCACCUGGUGGCGAGUGGCGAACGGGUGAGUAAUAUAUCGGAACGUACCUUAUUGUGGGGGAUAACGCAGCGAAAGCUGUGCUAAUACCGCAUAAUCCCUAAGGGGGAAAGCGGGGGACCGUAAGGCCUCGCGCAAUUAGAGCGGCCGAUACCUGAUUAGCUAGUUGGUGAGGUAGAGGCUCACCAACGCAACGAUCAGUAGCUGGUCUGAGAGGACGAUCAGCCACACUGGGACUGAGACACGGCCCAGACUCCUACGGGAGGCAGCAGUGGGGAAUUUUGGACCAUGGGGGCAACACUGAUCCAGCAAUGCCGCGUGAGUGAAGAAGGCCUUCGGGUUGUAAAGCUCUUUUGUCAGGGAAGAAACAGCAGCUCUAACACAGUAUGCGAAUGACGGUACCUGAAGAAUAAGCACCGGCUAACUACGUGCCAGCCGCCGCGGUAA